AUUGAACGCUGGCGGCAUGCUUUACACAUGCAAGUCGAACGGUAACAGGUUAAGCUGACGAGUGGCGAACGGGUGAGUAAUGCAUCGGAACGUGCCCGAUCGUGGGGGAUAACGCAGCGAAAGCUGCGCUCCUACCGCAUACGAUCUGAGGAUGAAAGCGGGGGAUCGUAAGGCCUAGCGCGAUCGGAGCGGCCGAUGUCAGAUUAGGUAGUUGGUGGGGUAAAGGCUCACCAAGCCAACGAUCUGUAGCUGGUCUGAGAGGACGACCAGCCACACUGGGACUGAGACACGGCCCAGACUCCUACGGGAGGCAGCAGUGGGGAAUUUUGGACAAUGGGCGCAAGCCUGAUCCAGCCAUGCCGCGUGCAGGAUGAAGGCCUUCGGGUUGUAAACUGCUUUUGUACGGAACGAAAAGACUCUGGUUAAUACCUGGGGUCCAUGACGGUACCGUAAGAAUAAGCACCGGCUAACUACGUGCCAGCCGCCGCAGUAA
rnacentral:rRNA from 1 species